UACAACACUAUGGCAAAAGCCUAACUCAUAUCAGAACAAAAAGGAUACUUCGAAUAUAUCUUUUUCACAUUCUUGGUCUCAUAAAUAUGCUAUUUCUACACACUCAUACAACACUAUGGCAACAAAAUUUAAUUUCCUUUGUUAAAACAUUACCAAAAUGUUAUUUUUUCGAUAUUAAGGAAUAUGGAAUGAUACUAAUUCGACGGUAGAUAUUUGAAUUAACAAAAGGAUAUUUCAUCCUUUUGAAUGGAAUUCCCAAUUCAUGACAUCUUACUAAAGACCCAUUGAAUAUUAUCGAUAACAUAAAACACGGAAAACCAUAAACUAAACCUGGCAAUAAAAUCGGAACCAAAAAUUAUAUUUUUCCAGAUGGAUCCAUACAAGAAAAAGAUGAAAUUAUUGAUUUCAUUCUUCACCCAUUCAAGCAAUAUGCAUAUUAAUAUGAAUUCCCGUGAAAUACAUAAUUAUACGCUACGAAUCAAAACAUUAUUCAACGACUACUGCCAAUUUGAUUAUAUAGUCCGAACAGCAAGACAAUGGUAAAUUGGGAAAAUAAGGGAAAAAGGAAAUAAAUAAAUUAAAAUACUUACAUUUUCAAUGAAGAGGAGAUCGACCACGACUACUGUUCCGACGAUUCCAGCAAGAAUGGCAGCUGGGCCCGUCAAAAGACUCCAUUUUCUGUAUAUCAUAGUUCUUGCUCGCUCUCUCCUUUCUCCCGAUGCAUAGCAGUGUGGAAAUGAGCGUAUUAAUAAUCUGGAUCGUAGGCCUUGGUUAGUUGCGUGGGCUUUUGGAUUUUGAAAAAGGUAUUUUUCGUAUAUUUAUUGUUUCAAAAAUAGAUAUUGAUUAGAUUUUAU
rnacentral:lncRNA from 1 species